UGUAAUGUUCAUAUGAUAUACUUCGCAUGUGCGCUCUUCCCACAUUCAACAUAUUGAGCUUCAAUUGUCAAUGCCAGUAGUUUUGAGAGAGAGUUUUUAUAUAUAGAUAUGCCACAAAUGAAAAAGUGGUCGGUUCGCGUAAGGCAAGGAAAGGCUUAUGUAUAUGUUGCUGGAAAGCCCCUAGCAAAGACAGGCGUCGAGUAUCAUCAGUGCUGCCGCCGUGAAAAGUGAGGAUAAUAAGCCUCUCAAGGGAAUAUAUUACCAGGCAUGAACGCGGCUGUUGAAGCAUUUGUUGUCCUCCAUGCUUCGGUAUCUAGGCGAAUUCUGCCAGAACACUUCAACUUCGCGUUUGGCAAGGUCCCAAACUUCAUUAGUGUCAAUUCGGCAAAACAGAGAAUUUGAGACAUGUUUGCAGCUGGUAGAAAUGUUCAGUCACUCGGGUGACUGGAUAUUAGAUGUUAAUUUACCCGAAGCUGGCGGUGUUGCAGCAGUCACGAUCGAGCGCAAUUGCCUCAUUCUGGUAAAAACAGAAGAGGAGGAACGAGAGGCCAGGCGAAAGUUGAAAGAACUUUAGAACCUAUAAAUCUAUAUAUAUAUAUAAUAUAUAUUAUACAUCUUCAUUGUGUG